rnacentral:rRNA from 1 species
AACGAACGCUGGCGGCAUGCCUAACACAUGCCAGUCGAACGAGACCUUCGGGUCUAGUGGCGCACGGGUGCGUAACGCGUGGGAACCUGCCCUUAGGUUCGGAAUAACUCCCCGAAAGGGGUGCUAAUACCGGAUAAUGUCUUCGGACCAAAGAUUUAUCGCCUUUGGAUGGGCCCGCGUUGGCUUAGCUAGUUGGUAGGGUAAAAGCCUACCAAGGCGACGAUCCAUAGCUGGUCUGAGAGGAUGAUCAGCCACACUGGGACUGAGACACGGCCCAGACUCCUACGGGAGGCAGCAGUGGGGAAUAUUGGACAAUGGGCGAAAGCCUGAUCCAGCAAUGCCGCGUGAGUGAUGAAGGCCUUAGGGUUGUAAAGCUCUUUUACCCGGGAUGAUAAUGACAGUACCGGGAGAAUAAGCUCCGGCUAACUCCGUG